AACUCACGACUUUCACUGAAAACAUUUCUCCCAAGUCAGAUCAUCUCCUCAAAAUCUUCACUCAAGAACCCUAGGUGAGAACCAUCUUCUCCAGUAUCUGUCAAACCCUUGGUUCUUGAAAUCCAGUGCUCCCAAAUCUCACGCGAAGUCAUCUGCGUUAAUACAAAAUCCAAACCCCUGGGCGUGAAAUCAAUUUCCUCCAAGUCAAUUGUUGUAGGUCGCGAUCCUCAAUUUAUUCAAUCAGCGAGAAGAGUGUGAGGAAACCCAACAUCUGACCGGCAGGAUACAGUAAUCAAGUCUUCGUUGGAGCGCGAUCGUGAUUUGAAUUGCAUUGAAGGAAUUGGGACUGGUUGUGCAUGGAAACAGCUUCAUUAAAUUGUGAAGUAGAUAUACCACACCAACAAUUCGAAGCAGAUCAAGGAUGGAACAAUUGUGAAGCAGCCAUGUACUAACGUCGACAGUUCAGUGGCUAUUGUUUCAACUGAAUUUGUAUUUUGUAAUGUCCAAUGUUUUGCUUUUGGCAUGUAAAUUGACGUCAGAUUGGGAUGUUACAAUGUUGUUGAGAUAGAACAUAUUCACAUUAAUGAAAUCAGUGUAUUGUUGCUGCCA